UGCUCUGUUCCUGACGGAGAGCAACUGCCAGAUCGCCAACCGUCAUAGGGGGGUGGGACCCAGUUACCAACCGGGCCAAAAUGUAUGGCUCUCUUCUAGAAAUAUUCCCAUCCAGGCUUCAUCCCGUAAGCUGGCUCCCAAGUUCAUUGGCCCUUACACCAUUGACCGCAUCAUCAACUCCACCUGUGUCAGGUUACGACUUCCCGCUGCCCUUAAAAUCCAUCCCUCCUUCCACAUCUCCCAAAUCAAGCCAGUCACCGAGAGUCAGCUUUGCCGGCCGUCCACUUCCUCACCGCCCGCCCGUACCAUCAACGGCGCCCCGGCCUUUACGGUCGACAAGAUUUUGGAUGUCCGGCGCCGUGGGCGGGGGGUCCAGUUCUUGGUGGACUGGGAGGGGUGUGGUCCAGAGGAACGUUCAUGGAUCUCCCGUUCCCUCAUUCUGGAUCAUACCCUCAUCGACGACUUUUACCGCGCCCAUCCUGACCGUCGUCUUUGACCGCCUGGUGGCGAUCGUUGAGGGGGGGGUACUGUCAUGGUGCCUCUGCCAGCUACUCUCCCCCUCCCCCGCCUGCUCUGUUCCAAACGCGACCAGCUGCCACCACUCACCUCAUUAUUGCUGUUACCCUCUUAAGGAGCACCUGGACCUCCACUCAACGCCAGUUCGUUGUUCCUCCCAUGGAAGAAUCACCUCUGGAACUCACCUGGUCGCUGUUCUCUGCCUGGACUCUGACUGUCUCGCUCUGGAAUCCUGCUGCCACGCCACCUCUGGAGAAAAGCCAUUACUCACCCUUUGCUAUAUAAAAUCAAACUAGACUUA